UCCGGUUUGGCACCGGCAGUCUCCCAUGAGUCCCCGACAUAACUCGCUGGCAACAUGGGACAGGGGUUGCGCUCGUUGGGGGACUUAACCCAACAUCUCACGACACGAGCUGACGACAGCCAUGCACCACCUGUACACAGGCCCCGAAGGGCUGCCGUAUUUCUACGGCAUUCCAGUGCAUGUCAAGCCCUGGUAAGGUUCUUCGCGUUGCGUCGAAUUAAACCACAUGCUCCGCUGCUUGUGCGGGCCCCCGUCAAUUCCUUUGAGUUUCAGCCUUGCGGCCGUACUCCCCAGGCGGGGCACUUAUCGCGUUAGCUGCGGCACCGAAGGGGUCGCUCCCCCCGGCACCUAGUGCCCAUCGUUUACGGCGUGGACUAC
rnacentral:misc_RNA from 1 species